CAAACCCAAAUUUCCUUGAGUGAGUCUUCUGAGUAACCGAUUAAAUUAAUCAAAACUUUCAACAACGGAUCUCUUGGUUCUGGCAUCGAUGAAGAACGCAGCGAAAUGCGAUAAGUAAUGUGAAUUGCAGAAUUCAGUGAAUCAUCGAAUCUUUGAACGCACAUUGCGCCCGCCAGUAUUCUGGCGGGCAUGCCUGUUCGAGCGUCAUUUCAACCCUCAAGCCCCCGGGCUUGGUGUUGGGGAUCGGCGAGCCUCUGCGCCCGCCGUCCCCUAAAUUUAGUGGCGGUCACGUUGUAACUUCCUCUGCGUAGUAGCACACUUAGCACUGGGAAACAGCGCGGCCACGCCGUAAAACCCCCAACUUUAGAAUGUUUGACCUCGAAUCAGGUAGGACUACCCGCUGAACUUAAGCAUAUCAAUAAGCGGAGGAAAAGAAACCAACAGGGAUUGCCCUAGUAACGGCGAGUGAAGCGGCAACAGCUCAAAUUUGAAAUCUGGCCUUCGGGUCCGAGUUGUAAUUUGUAGAGGAUGCUUUUGGUGAGGUGCCUUCCGAGUUCCCUGGAACGGGACGCCAUAGAGGGUGAGAGCCCCGUCUGGUUGGACACCGAUCCUCUGUAAAGCUCCUUCAACGAGUCGAGUAGUUUGGGAAUGCUGCUCU
rnacentral:rRNA from 1 species